UACGUAGGGACCAAGCGUUGUUCGGAUUUACUGGGCGUAAAGCGCGCGUAGGCGGCUUUGUAAGUUAGAGGUGAAAGCCCGGGGCUCAACCCCGGAAUUGCCUUUAAGACUGCAUCGCUUGAAUCCGGGAGAGGUGAGUGGAAUUCCGAGUGUAGAGGUGAAAGUUCGUAGAUAUUCGGAAGAACACCAGUGGCGAAGGCGGCUCACUGGACCGGUAUUGACGCUGAGGUGCGAAAGCGUGGGGAGCAAACAGG
rnacentral:rRNA from 1 species